rnacentral:lncRNA from 1 species
GUUGGGAGCCCAGGAGGCGGGGCGCCUGUGGGAGCCGUGGAGGGAACUUUCCCAGUCCCCGAGGCGGAUCCGGUGUUGCAUCCUUGGAGCGAGCUGAGAGCUCGAGAACCUGCUAAGGCCAUCAAACCUAUUGAUCGGAAGUCAGUCCAUCAGAUUUGCUCUGGGCCGGUGGUACCGAGUCUAAGCACUGCGGUGAAGGAGUUAGUAGAAAACAGUCUGGAUGCUGGUGCCACUAAUAUUGAUCUAAAGCUUAAGGACUAUGGAGUGGAUCUCAUUGAAGUUUCAGGCAAUGGAUGUGGGGUAGAAGAAGAAAACUUCGAAGGCUUAACUCUGAAACAUCACACAUCUAAGAUUCAAGAGUUUGCCGACCUACCUCAGGUUGAAACUUUUGGCUUUCGGGGGGAAGCUCUGAGCUCACUUUGUGCACUGAGAUGCCAGACCUUAGAUUUUAUGAUGACUCCUCAACCGUUUAGAUCUCGGUUAUCUCAGAGGGAUCAUCAGCUUUUUAAGAAAAUUUUGAGAGAAAAGCAAGUGAAGAAAAGAGUAGUCAGUGCCCAACAUCACGGAUCUCUCACUGAACACACCAUGCCUGGUAUUCUCUCACAGUGAUGUCACCAUUUCUACCUGCCAUGUAUCGGCGAAGGUUGGGACUCGACUGGUGUUUGAUCACUAUGGGAAAAUCAUCCAGAAAACCCCCUACCCCCACCCCAGAGGGAUGACAGUCAGUGUGAAGCAGUUAUUUUCUACGCUACCUGUGCACCAUAAAGAAUUUCAAAGGAAUAUUAAGAAGGACUCCUAGAAGUACCCCACCCCACCCCUGCUCCUUGGAGGACAACGUGAUCACUGUAUUCAGCUCUGUCAAGAAUGGUCCAGGUUCUUCUAGAUGAUCUGCACAAAUGGCUCCUCUCCUCCUUCCUGAUGUCUGCCAUUAGCACUGGAAUAAAGUUCCUGCUGAAAAUCCA